GGUGGGACUACCCGCUGAACUUAA
rnacentral:rRNA from 1 species